rnacentral:misc_RNA from 1 species
CUUGAUCCUCUGGUUCUUAUAAUUGUCUCAUUGAUCAUGAAGUUGAUGAUGAAUAUGGAAACAAAAAUUUACAAUUGUUGGCUUCUUUGAUGAUUCUCGUCUCAAAUAGCUAGGCAACAAGCGAGAAUUGUAUCACAAUCUUUCAUUCGAUGUCAGUGUAUCAAUUGGUAUUGCAAUUUUUAAUAAUAAAAAAGAAAUGAUAUCAAAG